AAUGAACGCUGGCGGCGCGCCUAAUACAUGCAAGUCGAGCGAGAAGACGUAGCAAUACGUUUGUAAAGCGGCGAACGGGUGAGGAAUACAUGGGUAACCUACCCUAGAGUGGGGAAUAACUAGCCGAAAGGUUAGCUAAUACCGCGUACGCUCCUUGGACUUCGGUUCAGGGAGGAAAGCGAUGCCGAGGGUAUCGCGCUCUUGGAUGGGCUCAUGUCCUAUCAGCUUGNGGUGAGGUAACGGCUCACCAAGGCUUCGACGGGUAGCUGGUCUGAGAGGACGAUCAGCCACACUGGCACUGCGACACGGGCCAGACUCCUACGGGAGGCAGCAGUAAGGAAUAUUGCGCAAUGGGCGAAAAGCCUGACGCAGCGACGCCGCGUGGGGGAUGAAGGUCUUCGGAUUGUAAACCCCUUUCGGGAGGGAAGAUGGAA
rnacentral:rRNA from 1 species